rnacentral:rRNA from 1 species
UACAGAGGUGGCAAGCGUUGUUCGGAAUUACUGGCGUAAAGGGCGCGUAGGCGGUCCCAUAAGUCCUGUGUGAAAUCCCCGGCUCAACUGGGGAACUGCACAGGAAACUGCGGGGCUUGAGUUCGGGAGAGGGAAGCGGAAUUCCGGGUGUAGGCGGUGAAAUGCGUAGAUAUCCGGAGGAACACCGGUGGCGAAGGCGGCUUCCUGGACCGACACUGACGCUGAGGCGCGAAAGCUAGGGGAGCAAACGGG